UGGGGGAUAUUGCACAAUGGGCGAAAGCCUGAUGCAGCGACGCCGCGUGGGGGAUGAAGGCCUUCGGGUUGUAAACUUCUUUUGCUCUGAACAAGGCGCACCAUGGGGUGUGUUGAGUGUAGGGGUUGAUUAGCGCCGGCUAACUACGUGCCAGCAGCCGCGGUAAUACGUAGGGCGCGAGCGUUGUCCGGAAUUAUUGGGCGUAAAGGGCUUGUAGGUGGCUGGUUGCGUCUGUCGUGAAAGCUCAUGGCUUAACUGUGGGUUUGCGGUGGGUACGGGCUGGCUUGAGUGCAGGAGUGGAGGCUGGAAUUCCUGGUGUAGCGGUGGAAUGCGCAGAUAUCAGGAGGAAUACCGGUGGCGAAGGCGGGUCUCUGGGCUGUUACUGACACUGAGGAGCGAAAGCAUGGGGAGCGAACAGG
rnacentral:rRNA from 1 species